CUUGACGGUACCAGAGGAAUAAGCACCGGCUAACUCCGUGCCAGCAGCCGCGGUAAUACGGAGGGUGCAAGCGUUAUCCGGAUUCACUGGGUUUAAAGGGUGCGUAGGUGGGCAGGUAAGUCCGUGGUGAAAUCUCUGAGCUUAACUCAGAAACUGCCGUGGAUACUAUUUGUCUUGAAUAUUGUGGAGGUGAGCGGAAUAUGUCAUGUAGCGGUGAAAUGCUUAGAUAUGACAUAGAACACCAAUUGCGAAGGCAGCUCACUACACAAUUAUUGACGCUGAGGCACGAAAGCGUGGGGAUCAAACAGGAUUAGAUACCCUGGUAGUCCACGCCCUAAACGAUGAUUACUCGACAUCAGCGAUACACUGUUGGUGUCUGAGCGAAAGCAUUAAGUAAUCCACCUGGGAAGUACG
rnacentral:rRNA from 1 species